UACGAAGGGGGCUAGCGUUGCUCGGAAUCACUGGGCGUAAAGCGCACGUAGGCGGAUUCCUAAGUCGGUGGUGAAAUCCUGGAGCUCAACUCCAGAACUGCCUCCGAUACUGAGAGUCUUCGAGUCCGGGAGAGGUGAGUGGAGCUGCGAGUGUAGAGGUGAAAUUCGUAGAUAUUCGCAAGAACACCAGUGGCGAAGGCGGCUCACUGGCCCGGUACUGACGCUGAGGUGCGAAAGCGUGGGGAGCAAACAGG
rnacentral:rRNA from 1 species